AAAGGAGCUCACCAAGGCCUGAGCAGGUGACAGGCAAAGGCUCCAGGAAGCAGGCAGGAGGCCACACGUGGUGAGAUAAACCCACCAAAAGGCAUGGCUCCUCUGAACAGCUGUGACUAAUUCAUCUAGUUCUUUGUGAGAAAUCACCGUGAUGCUAUGUAAGCCGGCUUGAUAAGUGAAUUUCAUGACCCCUGGAAGCUAAAGUUACAGGGAGGACAGCCCUGAAGCCAUCUGGUCCCCUGGCCUUGAACAUCCAUUAUCAUAUUUUCUCAAGCAACAAUGUCAAAGGAAAUCCUUUCAGAGACUGCAAUUCUGAGUAGUGAAUUUUCCACCUAUUAUAUGGCAUUUCCAUAAAACAUCAUCGUGGGGAUCAUUAAAGCACUCCUACACGGGGAAUCAGAAGACCAAAGGAAGUUUGCCCAAAUCUCAAGACUCCAUGUAUCAGGGACACCACCUAGAAAGAAAACCCGCUGAACACCAUUGCUGAACUCCUGCUGCUGCCUGCUGGCUCCUGAACCAACCACGACAUGGGAAAAGUGUGCCCUCUCCUAAAGCUAAGAGCAUCACAUCAGCAGGAGGGGACAUGAGGUGACUCCUGAGCUCCAUACUCUACAGCAUCUGGUCAGUUAAGCGGAAGUUCAAGCUGAUGACAAACACACUGUUUUAGUAGCAGCCAAGGGUCCCAGCAGAGCCAGGGCCUGCUCCGAUUUGUGUACGUGGCUUCUCUCCCAUCCACGAGGCCUAAAGGGGUCGGGUACAAAGAAAUGGGGAUUCCACGAGCCGCCCGUGUAUACUUCUGCUCUUCCGAAGCUACUGCCUUCGUGAAGCUGAAGACACACAGUAAAAGCUGAAAUCUAAGAACACAGGGCAUGCGAAGGACAGGAAUGGACAAUCAAAAUCACAUGUCAAAGUGUCUCGGGACCCAAAGGUGUGAGCUGGGACAAGCCGUGUUUCUUCUGCUGUGAACUUAGUGAUCUUUUCCGGCAAAAAGACUUGAUCUUCACAUUCUACAGGGAGUGGGUUUUUUUUUCCCCCUACUUUCUCUCUCUCUUUUUUUUUCUUAUAUUCAAUUUUAGGAUACAAAGUCAUAUGUGUACAUUUGUAGAUUCAUAAAUCCCUACUGGGAACACU